rnacentral:rRNA from 1 species
UCUAACAUGUGCGCGAGUCAUUGGGAUUUUGAAGCCUAAAGGCGCAAUGAAAGUGAAGGUCGACCUCGCGUCGACCGAGGGAGGAUGGCUCGCGUCACGAUGCGAGCCCGCACUCCCGGGGCGUCUCGUGCUCAUUGCGAGCAGAGGCGCACCCAGAGCGUACACGUUGGGACCCGAAAGAUGGUGAACUAUGCCUGGUCAGGACGAAGUCAGGGGAAACCCUGAUGGAGGUCCGUAGCGAUUCUGACGUGCAAAUCGAUCGUCGGAACUGGGUAUAGGGGCGAAAGACUAAUCGAACCAUCUAGUAGCUGGUUCCCUCCGAAGUUUCCCUCAGGAUAGCUGGCACUCGCUUGAGCGAGUCUCAUCUGGUAAAGCGAAUGAUUAGAGGCCUUGGGGCCGAAACGACCUCAACCUAUUCUCAAACUUUAAAUGGGUGAGAUCUCUGGCUUGCUUGAACGUUGAAGCCACGAGAUUAUAUUUUGCAAUGGAUCAGAGUGCCAAGUGGGCCAAUU